UAUAAGGUGAGACUAGACCUGGAAGAAUCUUAUCAAUUUCUCAUGACUUCCUAGUAGUUUGCAGCAUACUCUCUAUUUAGUUGUUGAUCUCUCGGUAAAGGGAACUUUCUAUUGCUGAUCAUAAGCUUAUGCAAUGACCUAUAUAUUUAGUUAUUUACAUAUUUCACUACUCAUGAGUGAGUGUAUAACUUUAAUCUAUUUUGUGGAGAACAGAAUGUACUUGCUUGCUUGCUUAUAUUUGUCCUGGUUGCUUGCUUGCUUUGUAACUUAUAUUUAUCCAAUAAUAACAAUUAUUUACUCACAUUAUGUUAAUCCGAUAAGAACAAAUAUGUUGCAUCAGAAUUUCUUGUUUGAUUACUGACCUUGUUAGCUUGUUUUGCUUUGUUGUGUAGUCAGAUGAUGGAGUAGCCCAAUAUUAUUAAGUUAAAGCUGCAAGCACGCACUGAACAUUGUAUGAACGGUUCAUAUUUGAAUUGAAAGAUUUGAUACAAGUGGGCAGCAAAUUCAAGGCUGUGAACACCAUUCUCCUGUGUGGUUUGCUAUCUCGAACUUCGUUGUUUCAUCAUUCAGUUCUCACCCAUAGUGCCUCCCAUUUUAUUUGACUAUAGUAACCAUUAUAGAUCUUGUACAAUUUCUACCUUGACGGUAUGGAUGGUUAUGUGAAUUGUGUAAUCUAUGCUCAAACGUUUGGACUCUCUGAAUAUUGUAAUUACUGAUUCAGGUGUAGCCUAAUCAUGGAAUAAAAAAUGAGCUAUAUGUGAAAUUUAUUUUU